rnacentral:rRNA from 1 species
UACGAAGGGGGCUAGCGUUGUUCGGAUUUACUGGGCGUAAAGCGCACGUAGGCGGAUCUUUAAGUCAGAGGUGAAAUCCCAAGGCUCAACCUUGGAACUGCCUUUGAUACUGGGGAUCUCGAGUUCGGGAGAGGUGAGUGGAACUGCGAGUGUAGAGGUGAAAUUCGUAGAUAUUCGGAAGAACACCAGUGGCGAAGGCGACUCACUGGCCCGAUACUGACGCUGAGGCACGAAAGC